UCCGAAUUAGUGUAGGUGGUUAUCAUAUAUGGCUUUCACCCAUGAGACUCGGGUUCGAGUCCCGGAUUCGGAA
rnacentral:tRNA from 1 species